CAUAGAGAGAAGAAGAGAGAGAGAGAGAGUGGCAAGCUAGAGAGAGAAAGGGAGAGAGGGGCUGCCAUUUUCUAAAGAGAAGGAGGAAAGAAAGAAGGAGAAGGAGGAGAAAGGAAAGAGGUUUCAAAGCUCUAGGAUUUUGAGCAAUGAGGUGGUUCUAGUUUGGGUUCUUGAUUUCUAUCAAGAGAGGUAGCAAAUAGGUUUUCUCUUUGGCACACGUAGUGAUGUGGGGUGUUCUAUCAUCGGGGUGUGUAUGGCGUGGGGGCAUCCUAUGGACGAGAAACAAUCAAUUAAACGUCAUUUUCUACAGAAUAAUGUUAUGUUUAUUUUUAACUUUUCAGAACUUAUCAGUGGGACUUGAACUUUAAUUAUUUUCAAAAUGUUGCAUGAAAACUAUUAUUUUUCUUUUAAACUAUUAGGUCCAACUUGCAUGUUUUAGCAAGGUCAUACUGGGACUUUUUAUAAUAAGUGGCUUUUUCUUUUAUAAACUUAUGUGCAUGCAAAUAUUUUACAAAAUAUUAGACUAGGGCGUUUUACAGAU